UCAGCACACGGCCCGACGCGGGGCUCAAACUCACAAACUGCAAGAUCGUGACCUGAGCCGAAGUCGGACGCUUAACUGACUGAGCCACCCAGGUGCCCCAAGAAUAUGCUUGUUUUAAAUUCUUACAGUUAGUACUAAACUUCCCUCCAAAGAGGCUAUAUCAAUUCAUACUCCCUCCAUCAAAAUAUGAGGGUGCUCAUUCUUUCACAUUCCUGCCACUGGGUAUCAUAGAAUAUAUACAGAUUUGCCAACCUGGUGGGACAAAAAGAGUUUUUCACUUUGGUUUUCAUUUCUAUUUUCCUGAGUCUAUACAGCUCAGCCACAGGCCCAUUAGCAGAAGAAAGCAUCGUUUGUGAAGACCUGAAGAAGAGCCCAAGAAUGAGUAGCAAAUUUAGGGCAGCCCUGAGGAAGAACUUAAUGCCAGUGAAUGAAUGCUCUCAGGAUCUAGGCAGAAGGAAGCAAGGAGAGAGACGACUUCCCGCCCCGAUGCCUGGCUUCUCAUGGGGCCUCUCGCAUUGCUCUUAGGCAGAUGGGCUCUGGCUAAUUUCCAUGGCGAAAUUCCUCGUGCACAAUGCCGUUCGGACCCAGAGAUCUGGCACGACCCUGUUCUCAGCUGGAUAGAGUGCUACUACCGCCCACUCCGUAACAGUCAAGGCCAGGGCAGGGGGUGCCCCUCCCCGUGGCAGCCACCCUCUUGCCACCGUUUGUGGGAGCCCCAGGAAGUUCCCUGUCCAGCUCUUCCAGCUGCCCCAGCUCCCACAGCCCUUGUGCAUGACCCCUUCUCAUCCCUCCUCUGCCCCCCACCCGGCCUGCCUGCUGGCAUCGCACACCAGCAAUGGCAGCAAUGUUGUGUGUGUCCGCAGGGAGACCCAGAGAAAAAGCCCUGCUUCCGGCUCAUUGUCUGCACUGUCUCCACGUGCUCCAGGCUGGGCAGGCGGGACUCCUGCUAGAUGUCCUCAGCCUGGCCUAGCCUCGCAGCCAGAUCUCUCUUCCCUCCCCCCACCUCCUCCAGCCUGUGGCGGGGUGGGGGGGGGGUGGUGGUGAGGGAGAGAUCUUAAUUUCUCCUGCUUCUAAUCAGCACAGCUGGGAGAACCAGCAGGCAAGGGCAGGAGGAGGUGAAAGGCCAUGGGCCUAAUCUACAAGCCACCCAGCCACCAGAGCCCGGCUUCCCUCCUAACAAGCCAUGCAGCAAACAAAUUAUCUUUGUUGUUCCUGGGAAAUCUGUAAGUACUUACCCGUGUAAUUAGCAUCUGUGCCUUGUGCCGGCAGUUCAGGUGAACAGGCCACGGCUACCCGGUGCCAGGCCGCCUGUAAUCAAAACCAAAGCGGCCGCCAGGGUGCUCUCGGGUGAGGACGAUGUCAAACUCAAUAGGGCCCUCACCUGCGAUGGGGUCCCCAGGAGCUGGCGCACAUUAGGGCCUCUGAAAUGCAAGCAAGGGGGAGGGAGGUGGGCAGAGCCCAGCCUUUUCCAUAAACUGUCUGGCAUCCUGAAGCCAGAGCACAUGGAGGGCCUGAGGCCUGACCUACCGAGGCAGAGGCCCUGGGCCCAGGGAUCUGCACUUCAAACAGCUGUCCAGGGGAUCUGAGGUACAGCCAAAGCUGGGUGAACAGUGGAUGUUCUCCAAAUCCCCUCUGUUGGUAGAAUGGUGAUAAGUAUCACUUACUGAAUGCCUUCUAGGUGCAUGGCCUUUAUAUAUGAAUAUGUUAUUUCAUUUUUCGUAUCUUCAAGAAGGGUAUGACUAUACCUUUUUCAGACAGGAUAACUAACUUGCCCAGAGUCACAUAGCAGCAGGGCUGAGAGAUAAAUGGAGGUGUGCGUGCCUGUCUCCAAACCGGGUUCUGGCCCCCCCACCCCACCCCAGAGUGAUUUCCCACUUGAAGCUACUUGUUCCAUGCAACGCUGGCCCCUGUGCGCAGAGCAGAAAGGACAGGCCCGAGUGGGCAGGCAUCCCGUGCCUAGGAACAGGACAGAGAGCAGUGGCUCAGCAGGGAGCCCACAGAGGGAGGGACCCCUUGUGACAGAGGCUACCGCUGUUUUCAGAGAGAAUGGCCAGCUGACGCAGCUUUCCUUAAUACAGCCGACGGAGCUUGCACUCAAAUUAACCCAGAGCGAGCACACCCUUGCAGGCUGCGGGUCAAGGCAGACCUCCAGAAGAGCCAGCGUGGCGCGGCAGGGGGACGGCGUGACAGGGCGGGGAGCAGCGGAGUGUGCGCGGACGGUGUGCGGAAUGGGGAUUCUCGCCUGGAUAGCACAGAGACGGGCUUUUCAACAGUUCCUCAGUGAAGAGGAAAUUGGAAAUUAAUAUCAAAAUCCCACUGAGCAGCGUCCAUAGUUUCCACAUGUAAUCAUGCUUGGCUUAGCCAGGUAGUAAAAUGUUUAUGAUUUUCUUUCCAA